UACGUAGGGUGCGAGCGUUGUCCGGAAUUAUUGGGCGUAAAGAGCUCGUAGGCGGUGUGUCGCGUCGGCCGUGAAAACCUGGGGCUUAACUCUGGGCGUGCGGUCGAUACGGGCAUCACUAGAGUUCGGCAGGGGAGACUGGAAUUCCUGGUGUAGCGGUGAAAUGCGCAGAUAUCAGGAGGAACACCGGUGGCGAAGGCGGGUCUCUGGGCCAUUACUGACACUGAGGAGCGAAAGCAUGGGGAGCGAACAGG
rnacentral:rRNA from 1 species